UUGGGUAUGGUGUAGUGGCUAACAUUACCGCGUUUCAUGAAAUACUUCUGAGAAGUGUACACGGUAGUAUAGGGUUCGAUUCCCUGUAUCCGAA